UCGGGAAUAUUGCCCAAUGGUCGCAAGACUGAGGCAGCAACGCCGCGUGCGCGAUGAAGGCCUUCGGGUCGUAAAGCGCUUUUCGGGUGGAUGAGGAAGGACAGUACACCCGGAAUAAGGAACGGCUAACUACGUGCCAGCAGCCGCGGUAAAACGUAGGUUCCGAGCGUUAUCCGGAUUUACUGGGCGUAAAGCGCGUUCAGGCGGUUCGGCAAGUCGGGCAUGAAAUCUCUCGGCUCAACCGGGAGAGGUUGUCCGAUACUGCUGGACUUGAGGGCAGUAGAGGGUGGUGGAAUUCCGGGUGUAGUGGUGAAAUGCGUAGAUAUCCGGAGGAACACCAGUGGCGAAAGCGGCCACCUGGACUGUACCUGACGCUCAAACGCGAAAGCUAGGGGAGCGAACGG
rnacentral:rRNA from 1 species